rnacentral:rRNA from 1 species
UGACUGUAGGUGAAAGCUUACAUCUCUUCGGAGCAUUUUACGAGGUGCUGCAUGGUUGUCGUCAGCUCGUGCCGUGAGGUGUCGGGUUAAGUCCCAUAACGAGCGCAACCCCUACCUUUAGUUGCCAUCAGGUAAUGCUGGGGACUCUAAAGGAACUGCCUACGCAAGUAGUGAGGAAGCGGGGAUGACGUCAAAUCAGCACGGCCCUUACGUCCAGGGCUACACACGUGCUACAAUGGCCGAUACAGAGGGCAGCUACCUGGUGACAGGAUGCAAAUCUCCAAAGUCGGUCUCAGUUCGGAUCGGAGUCUGCAACCCGACUCCGUGAAGUUGGAUUCGCUAGUAAUCGCGCAUCAGCCAUGGCGCGGUGAAUACGUUCCCGGGCCUU